UGUUCGUCUAUUGCAAAUGGAAGCGAAGACGCCUAUCAAUCAGCUGACACGACCGAGCCAAGGGGGGAAGAAAAUAAUCCAGUAACAGUUUCUGCUUUUACUUUGCAAGGCGAUAGAGAACUAAGUAAACUGAUGCUUAGGUU
rnacentral:sRNA from 1 species